GAUGAACGCUGGCGGCGUGCCUAAUACAUGCAAGUCGAGCGAACAGACGAGGAGCUUGCCCCUCUGACGUUACCGGCGGACGGGUGAGUAACACGUGGCUAACCUACCUAUAAGACUGGGAUAACUUCGGGAAACCGGAGCUAAUACCGGAUAUUAUAUUGAACCGCAUGGUUCAAUAGUGAAAGCCGGUUUUGCUGUCACUUAUAGAUGGAUCCGCGCCGCAUUAGCUAGUUGGUAAGGUAACGGCUUACCAAGGCAACGAUGCGUAGCUGACCUGAGAGGGUGAUCGGCCACACUGGAACUGAGACACGGUCCAGACUCCUACGGGAGGCAGCAGUAGGGAAUCUUCCGCAAUGGGCGAAAGCCUGACGGAGCAACGCCGCGUGAGUGAUGAAGGUCUUCGGAUCGUAAAACUCUGUUAUUUGGGAAGAACAAAUGUGUAAGUAACUAUGCACGUCUUGACGGUACCUAAUCAGAAAGCCACGGCUAACUACGUG
rnacentral:rRNA from 1 species